UCAUAUAAAUUAUGUAAAUAAUUUGUUAUUAGGAAUUGAGCUCCUAUACUUUUAAAAGUACCAAGUCAUUGGUGCUUGUAAGUUUUCGGCCCUUGGAUUACAGGAUGUGUGGUUAGGAUAAUGUGGGCCCCCCUAGGGUUGAGUGGGUGGUUGGUUUAAUAGUAUAAUCUAACGGGUAAAAAUGAUCAAAGGUAGAGAUUUAACGGUAAAAAAUUUACAAGCACCAAGUGCUCGGUAGUUUUAAAAGCACCAUAGCCGGACUCUUGUUAUUAGAUAGAAUUAACAAUUAACAACCUAGUCGGUAAGUAUUUUGUCGAGAAAACGUUUGUAUAAGUGCAUCUAAUUUGCGUACUCUAGGGUUGUUAAAUAAUUUGCUGAUGAGUUGCAUAGAAUCAUAUGAGUUCGACUUCUAAACGUUGUUUAAUCAAAAUAAGAUAGUUAUUUUAUUAAGAUCGAUGCAGUGUUUUAAAACUUUGAGCAAUUAGUACAAUAACAAGAUAAACCAACAUUUUAGAUCAUAAUUCUCAAAUGACAAUCUCCAUCACUAAUAAGCUGUCAUCAAACACUUGUUCGAACAUCGAAAAAGGUCUUAAAAUUUCCUACCAGUCCAAAACAAAAGCAAAAUAGUGAAUUCUAUAUGCUUUGAAUUUCCUAAAAAGAACUUUCCAAUAUUAGGAUUGAAAAAUAUUAAAAAAAUGUUAACUUAUUUACCGUUUAUAUAGAAGCAUUUACUAUCUUUAUCAUAUUUUGUAAGGAGAAAUUAGAGUGAAGUAUGCCAAAAACGGUGAAUUAUUUACUGUGUUUGUUAAAAAUAAAAGUGGCUAAUAAUUCACCGUCUUUAUCAUAAUUCUUUGAGUGGUGAGCUAUUCUCCAUUUCUAGUCUAGAUUGCAUAAAAGUUAGGAAUAUUGAUAAAACGAAAAAUCAUUCACUGUUAUUUAGAAAAGAAAGCAGCGAAUGAUUCACUAAUUAUUUUUCAUUCCACACAAUCCCAAUUUAAUACCUACGUGGUGCUGAUGUGGCAAAAAUAAGAUUAAAUCUCCA
rnacentral:lncRNA from 1 species